rnacentral:lncRNA from 1 species
UUUGGUCAAACAUUAUUCUUGAUGUCUCUGCAAGACUGUUUUGGGGGUGAAAUUAACAGUUCUGUGGCCCUGCAGACUCCUGACUGAACUAACACAGUUGGGGAGAAUAAGCCGUAAAAAGGGGAGCUUUUCUGUCCUUUCACUUUGCACUGAUGCCCCAUCCAUCCUCCCUUUCUGCUUGCCAUGGUAAAUGGUGUCCGACGUAACACAGAUGCACUGUGCACUGGAGAGGCAGAGCAUCCUGCCUUCCACAGCCGUGCACACCAGUCCCUGUGCACAAGUGGCCACCCACCCAGCGAAUCGACGUGGUGUGCUUAUCAAAAUCUGUGUGUCUGUGGGCCAGAGCCAAAUCCAGAGCCCCAUCCUGAAUGCCCAGCGGUGCCCACAGCCAGGAGGAGCAUUCGAUGUGUGAUGACUCAUCUCGUGCAUCAGACGCUCUCUAAAGUUCCCACAGAUUAUACCAUGGCUUAGUGAGUGCGAUUCUAAGACAGUUCCAAAAGACUUUUCAAUCCGUGGGAGUUUCAAAGUGGAUUCUCAGACAAACAUGGGGAGGACUGAGGCAGGCUUGGACACGCACAGAAUCAGACAACGAUGGUCCGGAGUUCAAAUCCCUGCAACCACAUGGUGGCUCACAACCAACUGUAAUGAGAUCUGGCGCCCUCUUCUGGAGUGUCUGAAGACAGAUACAGUGUACUUACAUAUAGUAAAUAAAUAAAUCUUAAAAAAAAAAAAAACUGA